GAUGCGCAUAAAGUGUUGGCUGUCUGCUUAUAUCAAGUAUGGUCUGAUAUUUUGGUCAUAUCAGCCCCAGUAUUGAGCAUACCAACUGAUAUUCUGGUCAUAUCAGCCCCAAUAUUAAGCAUGCCAGUUGAUAUUCUGGUCAUAUCACACUUUCUACAGUCUACACCAAAUCUGCGAGCACGAUCUCUGAUAUUUGAAUCUUGAAAUUACCAUUAGAAAGGCAAAGAGAUCUUGUAGAAAAAUAGGUUACAUGCUCAGGUAUAUCAUAUAUGGAGAAAAGGCACUUAUCAGCUGUAUUGGUUCUUUAGUAUUUUUGUGCAGUCCUUCUAUUAAUUUUUCUAACUUUCUGGAUUUAUAUUUGAGCAAGAUAAAUAUAUUCCAUCUCUAUCCCAGUACAGAAUCGAAGCUUCAUCAAAUCUAUCUGGGCGUUCAUUGCGUAAUACAAUGUUGAGAUUGAGAACAUUUUCAUAGGGGAACUUAAGGUAUCACCUAAUGAUAUAAUAUUAGUCACUAUCCAUUGAUUGGUAAAUUUUGCUUUAGUAUACACCCCUUCAGGAUAUGGCUUUCAAUUCUAUACUUUUCUUUGAUUAUCAGUAUUGCUACAAGGAUAAUAAUCAUUUUUAUUGCAAAGUACGUACUACAUUAGACAAAUCAGCAUGUUUUCCCAUAUAAAUACAUGUGGCGCGAAAGCAGCGACAGUCAUGUUUGAAAGUGUGUAUUAUAAGAGUAUGUAUCUUAGUUAUUUUGGCGGUUUGAAAGCGUGUAAUAUAAGAGUAUGUAUCUUAGUUAUUUUGGCAUCGCCAUCCUUUACAUUAUAGGUUGUUUUGCAUAACAAACAAUGAUGUCUACAUAUGUAGAUUUGCAAGUUAAAUUCACCACACCUUUGAAACCCGUAGUUGUUUACUAUUCUCUUAAAUCUUUAAAAUGUGUGCUUCAUUCCUUUAAUUUCAGAACUAGGAGGGUGCAGAUAAGUAAGAGUUGUUGGCAGCAGCAACCUACACAUGUGGAAACAGUGGCUAUGGCGGUUCAAAGGGAAGUUGUGGCUGCUAGACAGCAACUCACAACUUAGUGGCGGCUCAAAGGACAUAUAAUCUAUUUCUUCUUGGAGCUAUCUACUAUCAUAUUAUGACUCAUUGCUAGCUGAAGCUUCUAUUUUCUCGCCUUUUGUGGUGGCGAUUAUUCCUUGGACUGCAGUAAUUCCAUUUGUAAGUAUCAUGUACUACAACCAUCUUUAUCUUUAGCCCCUGCACUUCAGUAUCAAAUUUGUGUGUAAGUGUAGGUUUUCUACUUGCUCCCUGAACAUUCCAUUGUUUUUCAUGUGCAAUUUUUUUAUCACCGGCUUCAACAUAGUUAAUUAGCAUGCGAGAGGCUCAACUGUAGCUUUUUGCAAUGCUAGAAGGCCAUAUUCAGUACUGAAAAUCUAGACUGUUCUUUCCACUCUGUAACAACUUCUAUGCUUGCGCCACCAUGAUAUCAUUACAACAUUUCCCUGUAAAAUUUUAUUAGUUACACGUAAACUGAAUUGAUUUACCAGUCAAAAUUUGUACAACUCAUUUCAGUUGAUAGUAACCAUUGUAGAAUUACCAGGAUAUGUCAUGUAUGUACUCUGAGUCGUAGCACGUUGCAAAAAGUACAGUAAGAGAUAGAUUGUAUGCACUAUGGCUAGCAGUAACAUUUUUCGACUUGUACAUCAUUCGAUCUAUCUAUUUCUACAGGCUAUUCCUCAUGUUGCAACCUUUUCCCGUAGAAUCAAAAGGAAUUAGAUGGAAGAAAUGGCAGGAGGUAUACUUCGUGUUCCAUUAGUCUUACUUUCGCAAGCAUGUCUAUAGUCUUAGUGUUGGAGGUGUGUCAAUAGUAGUAUCAAUUUUGGAGGCUUGUCUAUAUUAAUCUUAUUUUUUGGAUUAUGUUUCUUUCCAUCUGCAUCCUCUUCAUAAUGGAUUAGGUUACUUUGUUAUUUCCAUGUGAUACUUUUUCUUAUUACUGUGAUCGUCAGUGCUCUUAACAUUGGUUGUUCUUGCUUUACGACUGCCUUCUCAGCGCACUAUUAUUAGUUCUAAUACAUUAACUAUAAUAUGCUCGAUUGACCAUAUUAAUUAUAUAUUUCACUUCACCGGGGCUAUUGGUGGAAGUGUUGGUUAAAAUAUUUUGGUGGCGGUGUAUAAAACUAAUUGUUGUACACCAUUAUUAAGUGCGCUUUUGAGCUUUGAGUAGACAAUUGUGGUCUUAAUUACUUUAAAGGAUCGUUAAUAUAUUACUGUCGCUUUCCAUGUUCAGUUAUUCACACUAUAUUAUUGCUUGAUCCUGAUAACUUGCUGUUAUUAGAGAAGGAAUGGUAUUCUCGGCUGACAUUCAAAAGCAGUCAAGAUGGUGAAGUUUAGAAUGGAGGAGCUCCGCGGAAUUAUGGAUAAAAAAUAUCCAUAACAUGUCUGUCAUUGCUCAUGUCGACCAUGGUAUGUGACGGAGCAGUGACAGUUGUCUCUAAUUGUCAAGUUUAUACGGUAGAAUCUUCUUGAUUGAUGAUUUUAUAGCCUUCUCUUAGUGUUGGAGGUGUGUCAUGUCUAUAGUCUUAGUGUUGGAGGUGUGUCAAUAGUAGUAUCAAUUUUGGAGGUGUCAUGUCUAUAGUCUUAGUGUUGGAGGUGUGUCAAUAGUAGUAUCAAUUUUGGAGGCUUGUCUAUAUUAAUCUUAUUUUUUGGAUUAUGUUUCUUUCCAUCUGCAUCCUCUUCAUAAUGGAUUAGGUUACUUUGUUAUUGCCAUGUGAUACUUUUUCUUAUUACUGUGAUCGUCAGUGCUCUUAACAUUGGUUGUUCUUGCUUUACGGUUGCCUUCUCAGCGAACUAUUAUUAGUUCUAAUACAUUAACUAUAAUAUGCUCGAUUGACCAUAUUAAUUAUAUAUUUCACUUCACCGGGGCUAUUGUUGGAAGUGUUGGUUAAAAUAUUUUGGUGGCGGUGUAUAAAACUAAUUGUUGUACACCAUUAUUAAGUGCGCUUUUGAGCUUUGAGUAGACAAUUGUGGUCUUAAUUACUUUAAAGGAUCGUUAAUAUAUUACUGUCGCUUUCCAUGUUCAGUUAUUCACACUAUAUUAUUGCUUGGUUUUGAUAGCUUGCUAUUAUUAGAGAAGGAAUGGUAUUCUCGGUUGACAUUCAAAAGCAGUCAAGAUGGUGAAGUUUAGAACGGAGGAGCUCCACGGAAUUAUGGAUAAAAAAUAUCGAUAACAUGUCUGUCAUUGCUCAUGUCGACCAUGGUAUGUGACGGAGCAGUGACAAUUGUCUCUAAUUGUCAAGUUUAUACAGUAGAAUCUUCUUGAUUGAUGAUUUUAUAGCCUUCUCUUAGUUGUACUAUAUUAAUCCUUAAAACUGGAUCAUUUAAAAUUAGUUAGAUUUAAUGAGUUGUUUCAUUGUUUUCAAAUAAGUAGUUUAAGCCCUUAUUGUGUCCUGGAGCUUAUUCUUUCUAUCUUUUUAUGAUUGAUAUAUGCUCUAACAAGCUUAAAUGUAACUAUUGGCAUAUAAUCUCAUGGCUCAAAAUCUUAGUUGUUGAAUUAUUAAAAUUUAUAAGAUCUGGAGUUUGCACUAUAUUUCAUCCUGCAGUAUUCCCAGUAACCGAAUAUUAAGAGCACUGACGAUCCCAGGUUGUACAUUCGGGAAAUGCUUUUAUCUUGCAGGCCAGUUUUACAUUUACUUCUUCGAUAAGGAGAUGACCAUGAACAGAGUAUCAUGGUAUUUGCCUUGGCAUUACUGAUGUUGUGUUCAGAUUACUGAAGGAUUGGUAGCCGCAAAGGAGUGAAGGGUAGAAAAUAUGUCCAUUGUCAUUGAAUUGGUGGGAUUGUCCCCAAGUUAGUGCUGCAGAUGUUUCUAUUUUAGAGCAAGAAGCCAAAUCAUGCUGUUCAUUGUAAAUCUUGAAAAGCUUGUUUAUUGUCACUUCUAUAUCUGUUGUAAAUGUUUAUUCAUGAUGUGGUACUUGUCAAUCUUGUUUUGCCCUUCUUUUUCAAGUUUGCCUUAAAUUUUAGCAGACCAACAAGUCCUUGUUUCUUCAAUUGGUUUCUCAUUUCAUGUUUGCACUUGUAUUAUAGUAGAACAACAUGUCAUAAACAUGGCGUUCGGCAUUGUUUGUCCAGUUCCCUUCAAGAAAGAAGAGAUGGCUAUAGAGAGUGGCUCCAUCACUGAAGAGAUGAAAAAUGUUGUGCAAGGCAUUGUUUGUUAAGCUCCUUUUAAAAAAUAAAGUAAUUAUUGUGCAUCUAGCAUAUAAAGGGGUUGUGAAGGAC
rnacentral:lncRNA from 1 species